UACGUAGGGAGCAAGCGUUGUCCGGAAUCAUUGGGCGUAAAGCGCGCGUAGGUGGCCACAUAAGUCCGUUGUGAAAGUCAAAGGCUCAACCUUUGAAAGCCGAUGGAUACUGUGUGGCUAGAGUACGGAAGAGGCGAGUGGAAUUCCUGGUGUAGCGGUGGAAUGCGCAGAUAUCAGGAGGAACACCAAUAGCGAAGGCAGCUUGCUGGGACGGUACUGACGCUGAGGCGCGAAAGCGUGGGGAGCGAACAGG
rnacentral:rRNA from 1 species